UACGGAGGGUGCAAGCGUUGUUCGGAAUCAUUGGGCGUAAAGGGCGCGUAGGCUGUCUAGUAAGUCGGAUGUGAAAGCCCUGGGCUCAACCCAGGAAGUGCAUCUGAAACUGCUAGGCUUGAGUACGGGAGAGGGAAGUGGAAUUCCUGGUGUAGGGGUGAAAUCCGUAGAUAUCAGGAGGAACACCGGUGGCGAAGGCGACUUCCUGGACCGAUACUGACGCUGAGGCGCGAAAGCGUGGGGAG
rnacentral:rRNA from 1 species